rnacentral:rRNA from 1 species
CCUACGGGUGGCAGCAGUAGGGAAUCUUCGGCAAUGGACGGAAGUCUGACCGAGCAACGCCGCGUGAGUGAAGAAGGUUUUCGGAUCGUAAAGCUCUGUUGUAAGAGAAGAACGAGUGUGAGAGUGGAAAGUUCACACUGUGACGGUAACUUACCAGAAAGGGACGGCUAACUACGUGCCAGCAGCCGCGGUAAUACGUAGGUCCCGAGCGUUUUCCGGAUUUAUUGGGCGUAAAGCGAGCGCAGGCGGUUAGAUAAGUCUGAAGUUAAAGGCUGUGGCUUAACCAUAGUACGCUUUGGAAACUGUUUAACUUGAGUGCAGAAGGGGAGAGUGGAAUUCCAUGUGUAGCGGUGAAAUGCGUAGAUAUAUGGAGGAACACCGGUGGCGAAAGCGGCUCUCUGGUCUGUAACUGACGCUGAGGCUCGAAAGCGUGGGGAGCAAACAGGAUUAGAUACCCUUGUAGUC